rnacentral:pre_miRNA from 1 species
UUGGUACUCCCUCCGUCCGAAAAUACUUGUCGAAGAAAUGGAUGUAUCUAGAUGUAUUUUAGUUUUAGAUACAUCCAUUUUUAUCCAUUUCCGUGACAAGUAAUUCCAGACGGAGGGAGUAUUAU